rnacentral:rRNA from 1 species
AUUGAACGCUGGCGGCAUGCCUUACACAUGCAAGUCGAACGGUAACAGGUCUUCGGAUGCUGACGAGUGGCGAACGGGUGAGUAAUACAUCGGAACGUGCCUAGUAGUGGGGAUAACUACUCGAAAGGGUGGCUAAUACCGCAUGAGAUCUACGGAUGAAAGCAGGGGAUCGCAAGACCUUGUGCUACUAGAGCGGCCGAUGGCAGAUUAGGUAGUUGGUGGGAUAAAAGCUUACCAAGCCGACGAUCUGUAGCUGGUCUGAGAGGACGAUCAGCCACACUGGGACGGAGACACGGCCCAGACUCCUACGGGGGUCAGCAGUGGGGAAUUUUGGACAAUGGGCGCAAGCCUGAUCCAGCAAUGCCGCGUGCAGGAUGAAGGCCUUCGGGUUGUAAACUGCUUUUGUACGGAACGAAAAGCCCUGGGUUAAUACCCUGGGGUCAUGACGGUACCGUAAGAAUAAGCACCGGCUAACUACGUGCCAGCAGCCGCCGUAAUAC